CUCGCGAGACUCGCCGAGCUCACGGACGGUCCCGGGCUCUUUCCGCGGCGGCCCAGAGCGCUUGGCUUGCGCUCCCGACGUGGAAGGUUUUCACGGCACCUAGAUGUCGCGGGAAGACUAGACGAGGGCCCAUCCCGCCUGGUGAUGCUGACUGCGGCCUCUGCCAUUUCUAGGCGGGCUGCACUUUGGUACGAGCCCAGAGUCUUUGUAAGCGGUCGCCUCCCAGCUCCGGAGCCGCUCUCCGCGGGCCACGGAACUCUCACUGUAAACGCCAGAGCAGCCAUCUUCGCCUGAGGAGUCUCACACUCCAAGGGCUGCCGCUCCGGGAGGCUCUGGGACUCUGUCCCCCAAACUGAGUCCAACCCUUUUUAUGCGGCUUGAUCCGUGUCCUAGCUUUCAAGAUGUUCCCGGUCACUAACUAUGCAAGAAACACCAGUCCAAGUGUUUCUCUGCCGCUUUGAUCACUUAAUGUCAGCUCCACUUUCUUAAUAACGAUCAUCUCUCCGAUCGGAUACCAAAUUGGCAUCUUAAAACUUUGCAUCCAGAGAUGUAACUCUUCGGUUUUACUCCAAACUCGUCCCUCUAGCUUGUUCUCGGAGGUAACUAUGAACCGGGAACGUUUGCUUAGUAGCUAAGACCCCAGUCCUGGAUUGUCUUACACCUCCACACCUGUCCUAACUAUAAAUCUUGUCUGUUCAGGCUGGACCGUCUCCAUCCGUACAGCUCUAUAUAACGCCUCAGUUACCCUGGCCAGAGUUGUUGGCAGUAGCUCCCGAAGAAUUCUAUUUCUCUUACCCCUACUAGGUUUUUCUUAACACAGCAGUCAGGGGGAAUCAUGUUCAAGUAGCAAGAGAUUUUGGACUUUUGUUCAACUCAAGAUAACAUCCGUCUACUCAGUGCGCUCCACAGGUUACAUUUUACACAAGGUGAAAACCAGACUUCCUAGUUUGGCUUAUGAGGGCAUGGAUGAUUUAAUUUGUUGUUACACAGCUCCAUACUGUUCCAAGCAUCCCUUCUUCUCACAGCUUCCACAGUUCAUUAUACUCUGCUCAAAGCUGCCCUAAGAGGUGAUGUAUUUACAAAACUACAGUAGAUCUCGCUUUACACCCCUCUUCUUGCCUUGCUCCCUCCCUACCCCCCAUCGCAUUUGUCUAUUUAGUCAUAAGUGUUUGUCUCCCUUCUUGGCUAGAAUGCAAAUAUUUUGAGGAAGGGUUUCUGGUUUUAGACACUGUUUGCAUCAUCCUUGGGGCCAAGUGUAGCAACCGGCCCAGGACAGCUGCUCGGUAGACAUUUGCUGCAAGAGUGAACAACUGGGAUAAGAGCCGAACACAGGCAGCAAGUAGGAUGUCUGGUGCGCUGAGCCAAUGCAUGGUGAUUAUCUGCGUGUUCCGGGAAAGCAGGAGAGAAGAUUGAUGAGCUGAGCUGUGACUGGUGCCCAGUGGCUUCAAGGGGGUCCCUGCUUCAGCAUACAGUCAUUAUUUGGUGUGCAAAUCUGCGUUUGGAGUCUUCCCUUUGUAGGUCUCAGACCAAUGUUGCCUUCUCUUCCAUAGUGAACACAUUCUUUCCCUUGUCAGUUUCUAUAAACUGAUGAUACCUAACUCUCAAAUUUACAUCUCUCACAUCUCCUGGCUUCACACAUACCAACCACAUCACUGCCAUCUCUGUUGGGUUUAUUCCAUGGUGUUAGCUGGUGAUGGAACUAGCUGUACUCCAUGUCCCAAUUACAUAGUACAUUUAAUUGCCAAUUUGAUAAUUUCUCCGUUACUGUAUCUAUUCUCCUCUCUCCCCAUCACCCCCAACAAACUGUCUUUAUUCAUGGUUCCUAGGGUCUUCUGGGGCCCAAGGUUUGUGUCUGCGAUGGUUUGAAUGUGUCUCCCAAGAAUUCAUGUAAAGUUUAAUCCUCACUGGGGCAAUAUUGAAAAGUGGUUGUGGGCCGGGCAGUGGUGGCACAUGCCUUUAAUUCCAGCACUUGGGAGGCAGAGGCAGGCAGAUUUCUGAGUGCGAGGCCAGCCUGGUCUACAAAGUGAGUUCCAGGACAGCCAGGGCUACACAGAGAAACCCUGUCUCAAAAAUACAAAAAACAAAAAAACAAACAAACUAAUUGAUGGGGGAAGACCCAGCCCAUUGUGGGUGGAGCCACCUCUGGGCCGGUUGUCCUAUGAUCUAUAAGAAAGCAAGCUAAGCAAACCAUGGAGUGCAAAGCUAUAAGCAGCACCCCUCCAUGGCCUCUGCAUCAGCUUAUGCCUCCAGGUUCCAGUCCUGGCUUCCCUCAGUGAGGGAGUGUUACCUAAAAGUGUAAGGGAAGAAAUUCUGACGCCCCCAAGUUGCUUUUUGGUCGUAGUGUUUUAUCAUAGCAAUAGUAACCCUAACCAGGAAACACGCAAAAUCUUUUUUGUUGUUUUGAGACAGAGUCUAUAUAGCCCUGACUGUCCUGGAAUUUGCUGUGUAGCCCAGGCUGGAACUCAAAGGGAUCCAUGUGUCUCUGCCUCCUGAAUACCAAGAAAAGUCAUUUGGCACUACACCCAACUAGGCUAUAAUUAUCAGUAAUUUUAUUUUUAAAUAUAAGGUCCACACUUUUUUAAAGUGACCUGUGUGUGGUGCUGGGCAUUGAACCCGCGGCCUUAUAUGUGCAUGCUAGAUAAGUACCACUGAGCUAAUUUCCAAAUUCUUGAUUUCAAUUAGUCUUGUACUUAUCUUUUUAAAAAGAUUCCUUUUUUAUUAUGGGUGUUUGUACAGACAUAUAUAUGUUAUAUAUGAAGUAUGUGCAGUGACUGUGGAGGCCAGAAGGGGGCGUUAGAUUCCCUGGGACUUGAUUUACAGAUUGUUAUGACCCACCAUGUGGUUGUUGGGAACUGAGCCAGGUCCUCUGGAAGGGCAACCUUCACUGUUGAACCAUCCCUCCAGGCCUUUCUUGUACUUACCUUAACCAGCUAUUCAUCCCGGUAAGUAUAGUCUUUUUCAGUUCUAGAAAUAGGCAGUUAGGUUAUUUAAAUUUAGGUAGGUAUAUACCACACUGGUAGUUCCAGCAGUUGGGAAGUAGGAGAAUUGUGAGUUCCAGGCCUGAGCUACAAAAUGAGAUCCCGCUGUCUCAAGAUAACAAAACAAAACAAACAAGAUUGAUUUUCUUUUCCUCCUGAAAACCUACACGUUUUUGCCUAUGUUGUCUAUCUAAUGCUCCAGUUCAUUAACACAUAAUAAAUACAUGUGAGGUCAUUGUUAAUUCUAAUAUUGCAAUCGUGUAAAUUACAUUUUCUUCCUUUACAACUAUGCUAGAUACAUUAUUUAAAAGAACUAAAGUGAUUGGAGUCAAUAUUUUUAUCAGAGAGGACAACCCUAUUCCUUUCCUAGUCAAUAGGAUGAGUGCAGUUGUGUGGCUUUCCCUGGGAGAGAUGAACAAAAGCCUAAUCCUGCCAGGCAGUGUUAUCCACAGACAAGUGUAGCUCAUGAACAAAUGGGUCCAUUUGGCUUACUUACAGGGGCACAGUGAAUCAAAUUGUUCCCAGCUCCUAGAAGUUGCAUCCAGUUGCUCCCUACCAGAGCUUCAGGCAGCUACUCAGAAGGCAUUCCCCUCAGCAAUUACUGACUGUGAUAGAAUCUUGGGGAAAGGCCUUGUGAAUCUCCUUACUUUCUGAGCUUCCUGAGACAUGUAAAAUUCAGGAGCUUCCUGAGAUUGUGUGCUUAGUUUUGGGAAUCUUCUGAACCCUCUCUCUUCCACAAAGGAAAUAGUUAUGCAACAGAAGUUGAUUGCUUAGGUCUAAUUGGGAGUUGAACUGAGAAGGGUGUGAUAGCAGGUGGUGAUGUACACCUGUAAUCUGCCUUUGGAUUGGAAGCAGAAAAAAAUCUGAGGUCUCUGCUAGCCUGGGCUACACAGUGAGACUACC
rnacentral:lncRNA from 1 species